UUCACUGUAGCGCAAUAGAUAGCGCGUUGGACUUCUAAUCCAAAGGUCGUAGGUUCAAAUCCUAAUUUCUGAGAAU